rnacentral:misc_RNA from 1 species
UCGACAAGUGAAAAUGUAAACAUGGAAUAUUAAUCAUUUCAUUUCAACGCAAUAAUAUUUAGAAGAGUUCUCUCUAUUAAAUAAUGUUGUUAGUUGUACAUUAUUUUUUUAAAAAAUCUCUCAAAAAACGCCUGGAUAAUUUCUAGUAUUCUAUUGAGGAGUGAGACAAUUUGAAAAUGGAUUUAUUCAAUAAUUAUCUAUAGAAAGAAUAGAUUUUAAGGAUACAGCAGCUGAUUGGCUGGGAAAAUACAAGGAAAAUGAGACAUCUGCUACAACUGACCUCGUGACUCUGCUGUAUUGUGCGGCUGAAGCCAAGCCAUUCAGUAGUGCGUCUAUCAAGAAUCUCAACGAUGAGGAGCUUUUCAUACUGAAAUCCAGUAUACAUGAGAAUUGCAAGGAACGCAUAAGUCAAACAGUAUUCAAUAAUUUUGUCAACUUCAUAGAUUUCAUAUUAUUCAGAAAUGCAGUUGAGUUGUUAUCGAACAAGAGGUUCAUGGAAACAAUUGUGACGAAUCUACAAUUCUUUGUUGAAUCUGAUAUAACUCAAUACAGACUAGUCAGUAUUGUCGUAGGAACACGAAUUAUGAGCGCUGCCCUCCUGAUAGAUACAAACCGGAAAGAGGAGUUGAAUUCUUUGAAAAAGUCUAUCAAAGAAUUGGCAAGAAACAGAGACUUAUUCGAUGAAGUCAUAUCUAAAGGAGGUGAAUUAGCAAAACAAAUUGCAGAAAGAAAAAUGAAAAUGUUCCAGAGAGUGAAAACCUUGCAGAAGUAUAAUUGUUACAAAAUUAUCUUCCUCAAUUUGUUUUCAUCUCUGUUCGAAAACGCAUUACGGUAUGAAUAGUUCAUGUUGCACUUGAAACGUUUAUUAAUUUCCCUGAUUCCUUACGAUAUAUGAAUUGUUGC